GACGAACGCUGGCGGCGUGCUUAACACAUGCAAGUCGUACGGUAAGGCCCUUUCGGGGGUACACGAGUGGCGAACGGGUGAGUAACACGUGAGUAACCUGCCCACAACUUUGGGAUAACGCUAGGAAACUGGUGCUAAUACUGGAUAUGUGCUCCUGCUGCGUGGUGGGGGUUGGAAAGCUCCGGCGGUUGUGGAUGGACUCGCGGCCUAUCAGCUUGUUGGUGGGGUAGUGGCCUACCAAGGCGGCGACGGGUAGCCGGCCGGAGAGGGUGACCGGCCACAUUGGGACUGAGAUACGGCCCAGACUCCUACGGGAGGCAGCAGUGGGGAAGAUUGCACAAUGGGCGCAAGCCUGAUGCAGCAAAGCCGCGUGCGGGAUGACGGCCUUCGGGUUGGAAACCGCUUUCAGCAGGGACGAAGCUUUUUGUGACGGUACCUGCAGAAGAAGCACCGGCUAACUACGUG
rnacentral:rRNA from 1 species